rnacentral:lncRNA from 1 species
GGGUAGGCAGAUGAUUUAGGGGGGCAGGGCCCGGCCCCCCCCCCCUUUUUGGAAAAAAAAAUUGGUUGCUUAUAUAGGGAAUCACUGAAGCAUGACUGGAGCGGGCCCCUCUUAGGUCAGUCAGUGGGCCCCACUUAUGAAAAUUUCUGGAUCCGCCACUGGGGAUAGGGUGACCCUAGGGACUUCCCCUACAUUUCAUUUUUAUUUGUUAUAUUGUCCCAUACAUGAAUAUAUAUGGUUUAGGGGUGGGGAUCUCAUUGGUUUCCAAGUUCUCAAACAGGAGGGGUCGGGUGACCCCAGGG